ensembl:lncRNA
GGCCUUUUCCACCCUUGAAAAGGACCCAGGUGGAGAGGCACCAGACAUCUUCACUCCCAAGUCAUCCUUCUAAAGGCCAGCUGAUCUGGGAAUAGACUAAACUAUUGUCGGACAUUUAAUUUUCAAGGAGAGAGCAAAGUGGCCGGGAGACUUUAAAAAUUGCUCUCAGCUUUAUGUGCAACUGCCUGUCUGGCUGGAGGUCACCACCAAACCCCACGUCUGUGAAGACUCCUGGGCUUAAAGGUGCAGGCAGAGCAUUUUUUCCUGGAGCUGAAGAAAAUUGCAAAGCUGAUCCUGCUUUCUUCAGAAUGGACUCAGCUCUACAACAGAACUCCAGUCCUUAUUUACCGGCAGGCUUGUGGCCGGCCAGGCCCCUCCAAUGGCCUUACCACUAACAGAGAACAAUGCAGAGAACAAGGUAUCAUCCCUAGAAGGAUUCCCUGCAAAGUCCUGGCAUAUUACUCCUGACAGCUUAGAGUUACAGAAAGACACAGCUCCACAUAAAUACCUGGUCUUGAAAAUUGCUGUUUCGCCAGAAGCAGACAUGGCCAAAGUAGCCACAAAAUGUGUUUAAGCAUAGGCUGUGCCAAACUCACGGGGCUAUGACAGAAUAAUACUAAUAUUGAUUGGACAUCCAUUAUGUCACACACUCUCUAUUUGUUCUUCUACAUCUACAGCAGCUCUGCAAAGGAGGAAUUAUGACACCAUGGCUGUCAGUAUGACACAAUGGCCAAGGCUUCUGGGACCAAAGCCAGUAGAUGAGGUCACUGUGGCUUCAAGGGACUUUGGAGUAAGUCUCGAAGGAGGCAGGAAAUGCUGAUGAUCACCAGUUUACAGGGUACACGGGAACCCUGGCAGCAGCUGCUAAGGACUCUGGAGCCUACGUGACUUCCCAUAUCAGAGCCUCCCCAAUGAUCAGAUUUUUACAAGACUGGGCACUGGAUUUCUACCAUUAUAAAGACACUUUCAGGUCACUUUAUCUGGGGUCUUGGUUAUGAGCAAUUUUUAGAUCUAUGUGAAAUUAGUCGAGAUGUCGUAGGUUACUUUACAUAUACAGCAACCCCCCUUUUCCAAAAUAUAAUUGUAAAGAAAGAAAUAAAGAGUGGCUAAAGUUCUAUUUUCACUGGACACUGAUGCUUUUUAUUUCUGAGAAUGGCAACCAGGCUAAGACGGUAGUUAUUGGCUCUUAUCAUAUCCACAUUUCCAAUGAGCAUAGUUCCUGAUAUAUCAACCCACAGUCAAUACAAGGAUGCAAAGAAAGAGAAGCAGACUGCUUUUAAAAGCAGAUAAAUCAACAAUACCAAGAUAGAACAGUCAGAGAAGAGACUGCAAAAAUAUAAGAAAUAGAUAUGGUAAUUUAAAAUCAAUACAUAAAGUCCAGGACUCAUAUACAUGGACAAUCUUUCACCCCUAAAAACCUCUUAAGGAUAGCAAAAACAUAGCUUGACAUAAUAAUGGAUGUCUAGAAUAUUUUUGAAUCAUAUUCUACUUUCAAAGUACAUAACUAAUUAAUAAAUAUUUCCAGAGCAUUAAUCAUCUUGAAACUGUGGUUAUUUUAAAUCUCUCAAUUUAUGUGAUGUCCCACACAUAAGCUAUUUUGUACAGUUCAUUGUUAAAUAAGCUAUACCUGAGUGUCAUAUAUGUACUCAGAGUUACAAUCAUGUAUUCUAUACCUACUUUGUCAGGCCUUGCCCAUCUGUAAUGUCCAUGAAUCACACUCCCUGGAUAUGUGUGUCUAAUAACUCCUGGCCUAAUUUGGACCCUGACAAAUAAACAGCUCAUUACAACAUUCCAUAAAACUUCUAGGAAAGGAAAGUUAUAUGCAAUGUGGAUGAAAGAAAAACAUCACUGUAAUUAUAAGGAGCCAAUGCUAAAUGAUAACAGAUAAACCACGUAAAAACUGGACAAAGAGGAUGAGUCAGUUGUCUGCCGAGAAGCAAAUCCAAACCUUUUCACAUUUGUGAAAAGGUGCAGAAAGCACAAUGUAAAAGAGCAACAAGCUAUCACUCCUCACCUAUCAGGUUAGCAAAAGUAAAAGAGAACUGGUAAUAUGUGCUGCUGACAAAGAUAUGGGGAAAGUUUCCUUCACACAUGC